rnacentral:sRNA from 1 species
GCGGAGGAAAAGAAACCAACAGGGAUUGCCCCAGUAACGGCGAGUGAAGCGGCAACAGCUCAAAUUUGAAAUCUGGUCCCCUUUGGGGGCCCGAGUUGUAAUUUGAAGAGGAUGCUUCUGGCGAGGCGCCGUCCGAGUUCCCUGGAACGGGACGCCGCAGAGGGUGAGAGCCCCGUACGGUCGGACGCCGAGCCUCUGUGAAGCUCCUUCGACGAGUCGAGUAGUUUGGGAAUGCUGCUCAAAAUGGGAGGUAAACCCCUUCUAAAGCUAAAUACCGGCCAGAGACCGAUAGCGCACAAGUAGAGUGAUCGAAAGAUGAAAAGCACUUUGAAAAGAGAGUUAAACAGCACGUGAAAUUGUUAAAAGGGAAGCGCUUGCGACCAGACUUGCGCCCGUCGGAUCAGCCGUCCCUCGCGGGCGGCGCACUCCGGCGGGCUCAGGCCAGCAUCGGUUCGCCUCGGGGGGAGAAAGGCGGUGGGAACGUGGCUCUUCGGAGUGUUAUAGCCCGCCGCGUAAUACCCUCGGGCGGACCGAGGACCGCGC